CAAUCUAAUUCACUCAAACUGUAAACUCUCUCUCUCUCUCGUCUUCCUCCCAAAUCCCAGCGGCGCCCAACGCACCAAAACCCUAACUUACUCUCUCGUCCUCCCCCAAAUGCCAGUCCGCUGCGCCUUCCGCCAUUUCGCUGCGCCCCCAGCUCCAGCCCUAGCUUUAGUUCGACUCUGUUCCUGUCGUCUUAAGACUCAUCCUUCUCUCCAGAUUCAGCACGACGCUCUGACUUCGGCUCGUCUAAGGGCGACGAAUUAUUGUUGUCACUCUUCAUUUUAGCUUCAACCGGAGCUUCUGUUGUUCCGAGAAAAAUCAAUAAUGGCUACCACUUGAUUUUCAUCCAGGAGUCCUCCAAUGGCGGCCUCGUCGACCUCCUGCAGCUCAAGCAGAAGAACAACAUCUACGGCGCGGAUAUUCCCCGCCCGCAACUCUCCGUCAAGCACGAAACUGGUAGCCGUUUGAGAGUCCACAUCACCGACGCAGAGAAGCAUAGAUGGGAGGUUCCGUGCGGUGCCGCUCUUCAAUCUCUAUCCCGAUUUGGUUGUCUCAAGACUCUGCGUAGGUCAAUCUUCUCUCUCUCUCCCUCUCUCUCUAUACAACCUUCUUUCUCUCUACAACAUGGUUUCUCGUUAUUCUCAGGGACCAUGACGUUGGGCGAGCAGUUGUAGAGAGUUGAGAUUUUUUUUAAUUGAAAUUUGUGUUUUAUUGAUUAGGAUCUAGAUACAAGUUGGCAACUUCUGUUAGUUUAUGUUUCUGGGCAGUGAUUGGCGUGAUUCUUAUUGAUGAUAAUCUCUGAACUGCUAUAUGCGAAGUUUUGCUCUGAAUCUUUGCAUUGCUAUUUUACAGAUGGAAUAAAGAUUUCUCACAGAUGAAAAAUGAGAUGUAUUACCAAAUGUGACAGAUUUUUCCAUUGCCUUAAUGCCUUUUGCAAAAUUUACUAUCAUAUUCUAAACUACUAUGAAGAAAACAGGACAAACAUCAAAAUCAAAUCAGUAGGAAGCCAAGAAUCCACUGUAUUCUAUUUUGAGCCUUCAUUGUCAUAGAUGCUUCUGAUAGCUUUCUGGGUUGAAACUUUGGGUGUAGCUGAAAUUGGUAUAUUAGCUUGAAAUUAUUUUUUGUGGAUGAUAAAAUUAUGCUCUGUUUUCUGGUUGCAGAUUGAGAUUGAAGUUUCAUGUGAGAGAUACAGGUGGAUAGACAUGCGUAACUUCUUUUUAUUGAGAAUUAGUCUUUAAUAAUUCGUAGCUAAAACAUGAGGUCUUUUGUUAAAGACUUUGAGGUUUAACUUGCUAAAUUCCUUUUGCCCUGAAUUCCUUUUAGUUUAUUCUAAUAUGAGUGCUAGUUUGCACAUUAUCCACAUUUAUGCUUCUGCUAAUUUAUUUAAUUAUAUGCAUGCUUAGAUUGAUCCAGAAUUCACAUUUAUAUAUGGUGUUUCUCUCAAGCCUUUUUUACCUUUUCUUUUACUAUUUGUGAUCCGAGAUUCCGAAGAUGAUUCCAUGUAAGUGUCAGUUGUUAAGUGAAGUAUUUUUCCGUUAUCCCUGUUUUAAUUAAGGGUUUUUAGUUUUUAUCUAUAUAAUAUGCAUAAGACAGACUGCUACAUGUAAAAACGGAGGUUAUGCCAAUGAUUCAAAGGUUUGUUUUUAAUACUCAGUUUAAGUAUUGAGCUUCUACUUUUCUCGUUACUGAAUAGUUUGAGUUUUUUCUCUUUUCCGUGUCAAGAAUUUGGAGAAGGGAAAAAAGUAAUCCUAUGUUUGUAUUCUUAAAGCUUGGUGCAUGUUGCAGUGAGUUCCAGAGUUGAAAGAAAAGUUUUGGCUGAUAUUGGCAAUGGGAACUGCAUAUUUUCAAAAACUGAACAGGGAAAAAGCUCUAUAUCUGGGAAAGGAAAAAGUGAUAAGGUGUUAUAUUACAUCAAGAGGAACCCCUAUCUUGUUUUUCAGUUUAACAAAGAGGAAGAUGAUAAAAUGACAACUGCAAAUGUUGCUGCUGUUCGAGCUGCUACUAGAGUGGGUGAUAUUACAUCAAGAUAGCAAUUUUGUUAUUUUUUUUUUUUUUUUGACAUACGACUGAUAGAACAUGUGUUUCUGUUAACUCUAUAUGGAUGGUGAUUGUAUGAAUAUUUUGAAUGGUAUAUGACAUGAUUUAUAGAUGAUUUUAUUA